rnacentral:rRNA from 1 species
CAGUCGCCACGGUAAUACAGAGGGUGCGAGCGUUAAUCGGAUUUACUGGGCGUAAAGCGCGCGUAGGUGGUUUGUUAAGUUGGAUGUGAAAGCCCCGGGCUCAACCUGGGAACUGCAUCCAAAACUGGCAAGCUAGAGUACGGUAGAGGGUGGUGGAAUUUCCUGUGUAGCGGUGAAAUGCGUAGAUAUAGGAAGGAACACCAGUGGCGAAGGCGACCACCUGGACUGAUACUGACACUGAGGUGCGAAAGCGUGGGGAGCAAACAGGAUUAGAUACCCGGGUAGUCCCUGUCUCUUAUAC